ACAUUGUUUGGAAAACUUCAAGAGCAUGAGAAAGAGCUCAUGAACCUUGAAAAACAUGAGAAGAGUCAAAAUAAGGAAAAGAAGGAGAAAGCUAAGGACACCGAAAAGAAGUUUAUCGCUUUAAAGACUUCAAGAUAUAAGUCAUCCACCAAUGAUACGUGUGAGAGUGAAUCAAGUGAUGACGAUAAAGAUUCGAAUGAAGACAUGGGGCUGUUCGUAAGGAGGUAUAACCGAUACCUUAGAAAGAACAAAG
rnacentral:lncRNA from 1 species